rnacentral:sRNA from 1 species
UUCUAGCCCCGAUUGCAGCGACAUCCUUUUUUGUGGCAGCGGAGCGAAGCUGAGCUGUCACAAAAAAGAUACAGCGGAAAGCGGGAAAUAGC